rnacentral:rRNA from 1 species
GUCGAACGGGAAUCUUCGGAUUCUAGUGGCGGACGGGUGAGUAACGCGUAAGAAUCUAACUUCAGGACGGGGACAACAGUUGGAAACGACUGCUAAUACCCGAUGUGCCGCAAGGUGAAACCUAAUUGGCCUGAAGAAGAGCUUGCGUCUGAUUAGCUAGUUGGUGGGGUAAAGGCCUACCAAGGCGACGAUCAGUAGCUGGUCUGAGAGGAUGAGCAGCCACACUGGGACUGAGACACGGCCCAGACUCCUACGGGAGGCAGCAGUGGGGAAUUUUCCGCAAUGGGCGAAAGCCUGACGGAGCAACGCCGCGUGAGGGAGGAAGGUCUUUGGAUUGUAAGCCUCUUUUCUCAAGGAAGAAGUUCUGACGGUACUUGAGGAAUCAGCCUCGGCUAACUUCGUGCCAGCAGCCGCGGUAAUACGGGGGGAGGCAAGCGUUAUCCGGAAUUAUUGGGCGUAAAGCGUCCGCAGGUGGUCAGCCAAGUCUGCUGUCAAAUCAGGUUGCUUAACGACCUAAAGGCGGUGGAAACUGGCAGACUAGAGAGCAGUAGGGGUAGCAGGAAUUCCCAGUGUAGCGGUGAAAUGCGUAGAGAUAGGGAAGAACAUCGGUGGCGAAAGCGUGCUACUGGGCUGUAUCUGACACUCAGGGACGAAAGCUAGGGGAGCGAAAGGGAUUAGAUACCCCUGUAGUCCUAGCCGUAAACGAUGGAUACUAGGCGUGGCUUGUAUCGACCCGAGCCGUGCCGAAGC